GGGGUCGUAUUGGUUUUGACAGCAUAGGUUACGGUUGGUGUAAGCAUGCAGUGCGUUGCGUAGUCAGCACUUAAAUCUGAAUACGAAAACUUCAAAUGGCAAUACACAGUAUGCCAUGGCUGCUUAAUCAGUGAUUAAGUAACCAUUCGGGCCGCGGCUAAGGUUCGCCUGUUACCUCUUGCCGCCGCCGACUUAAAACAAAAGAGGAUGCCGCAACAGAAGGCUGUGACUGUUGUGUAAGACUAUUCAGCUAAGUGUGCGAUUGGUUUGUUCAUUUCCUGUUGCGUGCCUACAAAUAAUAAUGAAAUAGGCAUGUAGAAAGCUAAUGGUAGCGAUGUUUGGACAGGGGUUCGACUCCCCUCGACUCCACAA
rnacentral:tmRNA from 1 species